rnacentral:rRNA from 1 species
GAUGAACGCUGGCGGCGUGCCUAAUACAUGCAAGUCGAGCGAACGGACGAUAAGCUUGCUUUUCUACUGUUAGCGGCGGACGGGUGAGUAACACGUGGAUAACCUACCUCUAUGACUGGGAUAACUUCGGGAAACCGGUGAUACUAACAGAUAAUAUUUUGAACCGCAUGGUUCAAGAGUUAUAGACGGUUUUGCUGUCACUUAUAGCUGGAUCCGCGCUGCAUUAGCUAGUUGGUAAGGUAACGGCUUACCAAGGCAACGAUGCGUAGCCGACCUGAGAGGGUGAUCGGCCACACUGGAACUGAGACACGGUCCAGACUCCUACGGGAGGCAGCAGUAGGGAAUAUUGGGCAAUGGGCGAAAGCCUGACGGAGCAACGCCGCGUGAGUGAUGAAGGCCUUCGGAUCGUAAAACUCUUUUAUUAGGGAAGAAAAGAUGUGUAAGUAACUGUGCACAUCCUGACGGUACCUAAAGAGAAAGCAACGGCUAACUACGUG